AUAGGGAUCUGCCUGAUAGUGGGGGACAACGUGUGGAAACGCACGCUAAUACCGCAUACGCUCUACGGAGGAAAGCGGGGGACCUUUUGGGGCCUCGUGCUAUCAGAUGAACCUAUAUCAGAUUAGCUAGUUGGUGAGGUAAUGGCUCACCAAGGCGACGAUCUGUAGCUGGUUUGAGAGAAUGAUCAGCCACACUGGGGCUGAGACACGGCCCAG
rnacentral:rRNA from 1 species